UACGUAGGGUGCGAGCGUUAAUCGGAAUUACUGGGCGUAAAGCGUGCGCAGGCGGUUUUGUAAGCCAGAUGUGAAAUCCCCGGGCUUAACCUGGGAAUGGCAUUUGGGACUGCAAGGCUGGAGUGUGGCAGAGGAGACUGGAAUUCCUGGUGUAGCAGUGAAAUGCGUAGAGAUGUGGAGGAAUACCGAUGGCGAAGGCAGCCUCCUGGGCCAACACUGACGCUCAUGCACGAAAGCGUGGGGAGCAAACAGG
rnacentral:rRNA from 1 species